rnacentral:tRNA from 2 species
GCCGAAGUGGUGGAAUUGGUAGACACGCCAUCUUGAGGGGGUGGUGGGCAUAGCUCGUGCGGGUUCAAGUCCCGCCUUCGGCACCA